rnacentral:lncRNA from 1 species
UUGUUUGGACAAACAGUUUUUUGGUUGUUUCUCUUCAGCAGCUUGUUCUUGAACUUGCAAACUUUCAUCAUCUUCCUCAUCAUCUUGAAACUCUUCCUCUCUUCUCAACAUGUCUGCACUUUCUGCGGUGGCCAAUUGUUCUAUCCGCUGUUCGAGGUUUUGUAUAGCAUUUGCCAUGGACUCCAUCAUCUUUUCAAGGUGCUGGUAGGUACUUGGAGGUUCUGGUUGGGCUUGAUAUCCUUGAUAAUCCUGGUAGUUGUUAGCCUCUGCAUAACUGAAGUCUGGAUAGUCUCCCCAACCUGGAU